CCUCACUGUACAGAGGAGCCAUUGGGCACAGAGAAAUUAAAGGCCAACAUUUCAAAAGGAAAAGAAAAUAACCUCAAUGAAGGCCAAAUAUGCACAGAAUGCAAGCUUGGGAAUGGAUGAUGAGACUGGAGCCAAAUGAUCAGCAUUUUCCCCUUCCCAAUACAGAAAAAAAUGGUGGAUGGAUUUCCCUGGUCACUUCCAUAAAGUGAAUGCAACAAGUCAGCUGAAGUCUGCCUAGAUUAGAAGAAGAUGUGUGAGUGCAUGUUUUCGGGAGGAAGGCCAUGCUGCAGUAUUCAGAGACUCCAAACCUCAUCAAGUCCCCAUCUCGCUAGGUGUGUACAAAACAUUGUUAAGAAAGCUGCUUGCUAGUCUGUAACAAAUCUAUUUAUUUGCCACUUGAACCGACUUCCCCCUUUCUAGAGUCCACAUUUGGGUUAUACUACACUUCUGUCUGCUAUUAAUAAAAAUAGCUGUUUCAAAGCAGAAUUUUCUGGGAAUCUGACUUCCACGGCAUGUCUUUGGUGAAGAUAAAAGCAGGAUUCUCCCUCAACACCCUUUCUUUGUCUUUAUU